CAGCUUGAUGAUGUCACUACAUGAUGAUGUCACAGGUUCAAUUACAAAACAAUUGUACCUGUGACAUCAUCAUGUAGUGACAUCAUCGAGUACGAG
rnacentral:miRNA from 1 species